rnacentral:misc_RNA from 1 species
CGCAUCUUGCGCCCAAUGGUAUUCCGUUGGGCAUGCCUGUCUGAGUGUCCCUAUACUUCUCAGCCUUUAAUUUUCUUAAUUGAGAGUAAAAGGUCUGGAUCCUGAGUGUUUGCUGGCUUCGGUCAGCUCACUUGAAAUCAAGCUGGUUAACCAGAGCGUAAACGGUUUGACCGGGUGUUGUAAAGUCGCCUCACUCGGGACGUUGCCAAUGGUUAUGUGAAAUAGAUUUAAAGCGAUUUAGACCUCAGAUCAGGUAGGAUUACCCGCUGAACUUAA